rnacentral:rRNA from 1 species
GAUGAACGCUGGCGGCGUGCCUAAUACAUGCAAGUCGAACGAAACUUCUUUAUCACCGAGUGCUUGCACUCACCGAUAAAGAGUUGAGUGGCGAACGGGUGAGUAACACGUGGGCAACCUGCCCAAAAGAGGGGGAUAACACUUGGAAACAGGUGCUAAUACCGCAUAACCAUAGUUACCGCAUGGUAACUAUGUAAAAGGUGGCUAUACUACCGCUUUUGGAUGGGCCCGCGGCGCAUUAGCUAGUUGGUGGGGUAAAGGCUUACCAAGGCAAUGAUGCGUAGCCGAACUGAGAGGUUGAUCGGCCACAUUGGGACUGAGACACGGCCCAAACUCCUACGGGAGGCAGCAGUAGGGAAUCUUCCACAAUGGGCGAAAGCCUGAUGGAGCAACGCCGCGUGGGUGAAGAAGGUCUUCGGAUCGUAAAACCCUGUUGUUAGAGAAGAAAGUGCGUGAGAGUAACUGUUCACGUUUCGACGGUAUCUAACCAGAAAGCCACGGCUAACUACGUGCCAGCAGCCGCGGUAAUACGUAGGUGGCAAGCGUUAUCCGGAUUUAUUGGGCGUAAAGGGAACGCAGGCGGUCUUUUAAGUCUGAUGUGAAAGCCUUCGGCUUAACCGGAGUAGUGCAUUGGAAACUGGGAGACUUGAGUGCAGAAGAGGAGAGUGGAACUCCAUGUGUAGCGGUGAAAUGCGUAGAUAUAUGGAAGAACACCAGUGGCGAAAGCGGCUCUCUGGUCUGUAACUGACGCUGAGGUUCG